ensembl:lincRNA Gm29455 predicted gene 29455
AUUGUCGAAAAAUUGUCCCUCAAAAAAUUAGCAUGGUACAGUGGAGAAAGCAGAACGCCCGGCAAAUGACAGCUGCUGGCCCCAGACAGGGCCAGAGAGAGGAGUUUUACAAGGUGCCACCUCAGAAAGGCACCUGUCAAUCCAAGCCUGCAGUGGCCAGAGGGGUGGCAGGGCAAGGGCAGUGGGUCUGCAACUAUCAAUACAACUGCAAAAGCAGCUGCCUUGCCCUUUCUGGUCCAUGACAGCAUGGAUUGUGAGCUUCCACGGGGUUUCCGGCUACAGUACAGACCAUGAACAUUGCUUCAGGAAGCAGCACAGACCACGGAUGUCCCCAGGGCCUUUGGUGGUACAUUGGCCCCUGGCCACAGGUGGGCCACAGACACAUCAGCAUUGCCUCCAGCUCCAACACAGCCCAUGGAUCUUCAACAUGGCUUCAGGAGGCAUCACAGGCCAUACAUUUCUUAGUCGGGGUUUCUAUUGCUGGGAUGAAACACCAUAACCAAAAGCAAGUUGGGAAGGAAAGGGUUUCUUCAUCAUAUACGUCCAGAUCAUAGUCCAUCAUUGGAGAAGUCAGGGCAGGAACCCAAGCAGGACAGAAUCCUGGAGGCAGGGGCUGAAACAGAAGCCAUGGGUGUGGGGGUGCUGUUUACUGGCUUGCUCCCCAUGGCUUGCUCAGCCUGCUUUCUCAUAGAACCCAGGACCAACAGCCCAGGAAUGGCACCACCUACAAUGGUCUGAUCUCUCCCCUGUUGGUCACUAAUUGAUAAAAUGCCUUACAGUUGGAUCCCAUGGAAUCAUUUCCUUCCUCUCUGAUGACUCUAGCUUGUGUCAAGUUGACACGAAAGACCAGCCAACAUACAACAUAUAUCCACAUGGCCUUUGGUGUUAACAUGGAGCACAGACCUCAACAUGGCCUCUGACAAGAGCACAGACAGAGCACAGAUAUCCACACUGGCUCUAGUUGCAGCACAGACUGUGGACAUCAACAUAGCCCCCAGCAGCUGCAGACAUUAAGUUGGCCUCAGGCAAUAGCACAGGCCACACACAUCAACAUGGUUUCUAGCAGGAAUGAGGACCAGACUCUAACGUGACUCUCAGCAGCAGCAUGGAUUAUGGUCAUCAACCUGGCCUACAGUGAGAACACAGACCAUGGGUGCCCUCAAAGCCUCCUGCCACAGCUUGGACGUUGGACACUAGCAUGACCCUCAGGAGCAACAGAAGCCAUGGGUGUCCAGGGUUUUGUUUUGUUUUUAGUUCUUUAUAUAUUUUAAUCAUCAACCUUCUAUCAAUUGUAUGAUUGAAAUAAAUCUUUUCCCAUUCUGUAGGCUGUGGAUUUGUCCUAAUGGUGGUAUCCUUUGCCUUAC